rnacentral:rRNA from 1 species
GACGAACGCUGGCGGCGUGCCUAAUACAUGCAAGUCGAGCGAAGUUUUUCUGGUGCUUGCACUAGAAAAACUUAGCGGCGAACGGGUGAGUAACACGUAAAGAGCCUGCCUCAUAGACUGGGACAACUAUUGGAAACGAUAGCUAAUACCGGAUAACAGCAUUAACUGCAUGGUUGAUGUUUAAAAGUUGGUUUUGCUAACACUAUGAGAUGGCUUUGCGGUGCAUUAGCUAGUUGGUGGGGUAAAGGCCUACCAAGGCGACGAUGCAUAGCCGACCUGAGAGGGUGAUCGGCCACACUGGGACUGAGACACGGCCCAGACUCCUACGGGAGGCAGCAGUAGGGAAUCUUCCGCAAUGGGCGAAAGCCUGACGGAGCAACGCCGCGUGAGUGAAGAAGGAUUUCGGUUCGUAAAGCUCUGUUGUUAGGGAAGAAUGAUUGUGUAGUAACUAUACACAGUAGAGACGGUACCUAACCAGAAAGCCACGGCUAACUACGUG